GACGAACGCUGGCGGCAGGCCUAACACAUGCAAGUCGAACGGUAACAGGAAGCAGCUUGCUGCUUCGCUGACGAGUGGCGGACGGGUGAGUAAUGUCUGGGAAACUGCCUGAUGGAGGGGGAUAACUACUGGAAACGGUAGCUAAUACCGCAUAACGUCGCAAGACCAAAGAGGGGGACCUUCGGGCCUCUUGCCAUCGGAUGUGCCCAGAUGGGAUUAGCUAGUAGGUGGGGUAACGGCUCACCUAGGCGACGAUCCCUAGCUGGUCUGAGAGGAUGACCAGCCACACUGGAACUGAGACACGGUCCAGACUCCUACGGGAGGCAGCAGUGGGGAAUAUUGCACAAUGGGCGCAAGCCUGAUGCAGCCAUGCCGCGUGUAUGAAGAAGGCCUUCGGGUUGUAAAGUACUUUCAGCGGGGAGGAAGGCGAUAAGGUUAAUAACCUUGUCGAUUGACGUUACCCGCAGAAGAAGCACCGGCUAACUCCGUGCCGGCCGCCGCGGUAA
rnacentral:rRNA from 1 species